rnacentral:rRNA from 1 species
UCCGGUUGAUCCUGCCAGACCCCACUGCUAUCGGGAUAGGACUAAGACAUGCUAGUCGAGCGCGUCAGCCAAAACGACGCGCGGCGCACAGCUCAGUAGCACGUGGCUAAUCUGCCCUUGGGACGAGAACAACCCCGGGAAACUGGGGCUAACUCUCGAUAGGCGAAGAACACUGGAAUGUGUCUUCACCCAAAAAGCUUCACGUUAUGCUCGUGGAGUUGCCCAAGGAUGAGGCCGCGGCCGAUCAGGUUGUUGGCGAGGUAAUGGCUCACCAAGCCUUUUACCGGUGCGGGCCGUGGGAGCGGGAGCCCGGAGAUGGGUACUUAGACAAGGACCCAGGCCCUACGGGGCGCAGCAGUCGCGAGACCUUUGCAAUACACGUAAGUGUGACAGGGCUAUCCCGAGUGCCAUCCGCUGAGGAAGGCUUUUACCCAGUCUAGACCGCUGGGGGAAUAAGAAGAGGGCAAGUCUGGUGUCAGCCGCCGCGGUAAUACCAGCUCUCCGAGUGGUGUGGAUGUUUAUUGGGCCUAAAGCAUCCGUAGCUGGCUAGGUUAGUCCCCUGUUAAAUCCACCGAAUUAAUCGUUGGAUCGCGGGGGAUACUGCUUGGCUAGGGGACGAGAGAGGCAGACGGUAUUUCCGGGGUAGGAGUGAAAUCUUGUAAUCCUCGAGGGACGACCUAUGGCGAAGGCAGUUUACCAGAACAGCUUCGACAGUGAGGGACGAAAGCUGGGGGAGCAAACGGGAUUAGAUACCCCGGUAGUCCCAGCCGUAACAAUGUGCGUUAGGUGUGUCGGUAACCACGUGUUACUGAUGCGCCGAAGAGAAAUCGUGAAACGCACCACCUGGGAAGUACGGUCGCAAGGCUGAAACUUAAAGGAAUUGGCGGGGGAGCACCACAACAGGUGGAGCCUGCGGUUUAAUUGGAUUCAACGCCGGACAUCUCACCGGAUAAGACAGCUGAAUGAUUGUCAAUCUGAAGGUUUUACAUGACUAGCUGAGAGGAGGUGCAUGGCCGUCGUCAGUUCGUACUGUGAAGCAUCCUGUUAAGUCAGGCAACGAGCGAGACCCACGCCGACAAUUGCCAGCAGCAUCUCCGGAUGGCUGGGGACAUUGUCGGGACCGCCUCUGCUAAAGGGGAGGAAGGAAUGGGCAACGGUAGGUCAGCAUGCCCCGAAUUAUCCGGGCUACACGCGGGCUACAAUGGACGGGACAAUGGGUAACAACACCGAAAGGUGCAGUCAAUCUCCGAACCCCGCCCUUAGUUAGGAUUGCGGGUUGCAACUCACCCGCAUGAAUCUGGAAUCUGUAGUAAUCGCGUUUCACUAUAGCGCGGUGAAUACGUCCCUGCUCCUUGCACACACCGCCCGUCAAACCAUCCUAGUGGGGUUUGGAUGAGUCCCUGGUCUUUGCCGGGGUCGAAUCUAGGUUCCGUGAGGAGGGUUAAGUCGUAACAAGGUAACC